GGUAUGGGAUGAGCUUGCGUCCGAUUAGCUAGUUGGCGGGGCAACGGCCCACCAAGGCGACGAUCGGUAGCCGGCCUGAGAGGGUGAUCGGCCACAUUGGGACUGAGAUACGGCCCAGACUCCUACGGGAGGCAGCAGUAGGGAAUAUUGCACAAUGGGGGAAACCCUGAUGCAGCAACGCCACGUGUGGGAAGAAGCAUUUCGGUGUGUAAACCACUGUCAUGAGGGAAUAAGGCCCGCCUUCGGACGGGAUUGAAUGUACCUUGAGAGGAAGCACCGGCAAACUUCGUGCCAGCAGCCGCGGUAAUACGAGGGGUGCAAGCGUUGUUCGGAAUUACUGGGCGUAAAGGGAGCGUAGGCGGAGAUUCAAGCGGAUUGUACAAUCUCGGGGCCCAACCCCGGCUCUGUAGUCCGAACUGGAUCUCUUGGAUAGUUCAGGGGCAGGC
rnacentral:rRNA from 1 species